AAUGGUGGGAUUGCAGGAUCAUGGAGUGACACAGGAUCACAUGGAAUCACAUGGAAUCACGGAAUCAUGGAAUGGCGGGAUGGUGGGAUCAUGCAGUGACACAGGAUCACACGGAAUCACAUGGAAUCAGGGAAUGGCAGAAUGGUGGGAUUGCGGGAUCAUGGAGUGACACAGGAUCACAUGGAAUCACAGGAUCAGGAAAUGGCAGAAUAGCAGGAUGGCGGGAUUGUGGGAUCAUGCAGUGACACAGGAUCACAUGGAAUCAUGGAAUCAGGGAAUGGCAGAAUGGCGGGAUCUCAGGGUUGGGGGAUCACGGAGUCACACAGAAUCAGGGAAUCACAGAGAAUCAGGGAAUUACAAAAUGGCGGAAUCUCGGUAUUAUGGAAUCACAGAAUCACACAAUCACGGAAUCACAGAAUCACACAGAAUCAGGGAAUCAUGGAAUCACACAAUCAAACAAUCACACAGAAUCUUACAGAAUCACACAAAUCAAUCACACAGGAUCACAGAGGAUCUCACAGAACCACACACAAUCACACAGUAUCACAGAAUCACACAAUCAGGGAAUCGCACGGAAUCACACAGUCAAUCACAGAAUCACAGGAUCCCACAGAAUUCUCACAAUCACACAAACCCUGGGUUGGGAAAGCCCUUCAAGGCCCUGGAGCCCAGCGCAGCCCCUGGCACCCAGUGCCACCUCCAGGCUGGUCAAACACACCCAGGGAUGGNAAUAAUAAUAAUAAUAAUAAUAAUAAUAAUAAUAAUAAUAAUAAUAAUAAUAUCACCUGACUUUUCACCUUAUCAACUGACUUUUCAUUCUCAAGACUAUUUUUGCCAUCUUGAGAGUGACAAGUCAGUUAAUAACAAAUUAUUUAUUCCCGGGUAAAAAACAGGCUGUGCCUGUAAUAAGAAGAGAUCUGUUCCUUGAGAAUGAGCAGAAAGGGUGUGGAAAUGGACUAAAAAUAAAGAAGUCUGACUGAUAUGUGAAAUAUUGAUG
rnacentral:lncRNA from 1 species